rnacentral:lncRNA from 1 species
UUCUGCCGACGCAUUUCCGGCAAACUUCUCCCCCUUUCUUUCCGUGGCACUUAAGAAUUGGCACAUGCAGCCAAAGUGGGNGUGGGAUUUCGAGAACUGACACUGGUAGUCAGUAUUAUGGGUAAAGAAUUGGCACUGGUAGCCAUAUUGUGGGAUUUCGAGAACUGACACUAGUAGUCAGUAUUGUGGGAAGAGAAUUGGCACGGGUAGCCAUA